UAACAACAAGGAAUUUACAAC
ensembl:piRNA 21ur-4374 ncRNA